GCAGCACAGCAGUAGCAAUACUGUGGGUGGCGAGUGGCGGACGGGUGAGUAAUGCAUCGGGAUUUGCCCAGACGUGGGGGAUAACGUAGGGAAACUUACGCUAAUACCGCAUACGUCCUACGGGAGAAAGCGGGGGAUCUUCGGACCUCGCGCGGUUGGAUGAACCGAUGUCUGAUUAGCUAGUUGGUGAGGUAACGGCUCACCAAGGCGACGAUCAGUAACUGGUCUGACAGGAUGAUCAGCCACACUGGGACUGAGACACGGCCCAGACUCCUACGGGAGGCAGCAGUGGGGAAUAUUGCUACAAUGGGCGCAAGCCUGAUCCAGCAAUGCCGCGUGUGUGAAUAAGGCCUUCGGGUUGUAAAGCACUUUUAUCAGGAGCGAAAUACCACGGGCUAAUACCCUAUGGGGCUGACGGUCCUGAGGAAUAAGCACCGGCUAACUUCGUGCCAGCAGCCGCGGUAAUACGAAGG
rnacentral:rRNA from 1 species